UGGCCAGAGGGAUGGGACCAGGCUCCAAGCCACACCUUGUUGGGAAACUUCACCCGAGAGUCAGAGAGAGAGAGAGAGAGGAAGGAAGGAAGGAAAUAGAGAAAAUGGAUUCAGUCAAGGAAGCCGGAGCCCUGAGCUUGCAAGACUGGAGCAGGCCUGAAUAGAAUUGAAACUGUAAAGAAGUAGAAGGAGUGCAGUUAAAAGAAGUGCUUAAUGGGCAAUCAGCUGGCAUGGAUUCCUAGACCUUAAUACUGGCGUGACACGAGGAAACCAGUGCAAAACAAGAAUGUGACAGCUAAAAGAGCUGCCAGCCAAAGGAACUGAGGAAGGCAAGUGAAGUAAAGGUAGUGCCAAGCUAAAGAUGACCUUCA